CACGUAGGGUGCGAGCGUUGUCCGGAAUUAUUGGGCGUAAAGAGCUCGUAGGUGGUGUGUCGCGUCGGCCGUGAAAACCUGCAGCUUAACUGUGGGCUUGCGGUCGAUACGGGCAUCACUGGAGUUCGGCAGGGGAGACUGGAAUUCCUGGUGUAGCAGUGAAAUGCGUAGAUAUCAGGAGGAACACCGAUGGCGAAGGCAGGUCUCUGGGCUGACACUGACGCUCAUGCACGAAAGCGUGGGGAGCAAACAGG
rnacentral:rRNA from 1 species